rnacentral:lncRNA from 1 species
UACAUUCUUUUGCUGUUUCGCUGUUGCUGAAUGAAUGACUGAAUGAAAGCAUCUCCCAAGGCUGCCUGCUUGCUUACCUUCUCACAUGAUGCUUCUUUGCCUCUCUGUUCCUUAAGGAGCUUUCCCUCCCUUCUUUCUUGCCCCACAGUCCCCAAACUCACCAGUGUGGGCAGAAGGAGAAAAGGAAUGUUCUAUCCAGCCCCAUACCCCAGCACCUGCUGGGCAACUUUGUCUUCCCUUCUGCAAAAGAAAAGAAGUCCCCUCAAACACAGGAGAGGAUGGGAAAAGGCAUCUCUCUAAGCAGUAACCCUGGCAGGGCCCUUCAGGAUUCCCAAAUUCCCAAUUUAUAGACAGGGAAACUGAUCCCUAGAGAAGGGAAGGGACUUGCCCAUGUCCACACAGCAUGUUAGUGGGACACAUCAUGAAACAUAAAAGCAGGAAGAGGGUCUAGAAACCAUCUAGCCCUACCCCCUCAUUUAGAGAAAGGAAAACCGAGGCCCAGAGAGGGAGAGUUAGUGACAGAGCCACAACAAGAACUCAGAAGAGGGUCAGCUGGUGUGCAACCAGCUCAGUGACACAAAAGCCUGUGCUAGGGAUUUAAUGUUCUACUGUCGUGUCUUGAAAUUCUUCAUAUCUUAUCUGUAAAUGUGUAGUUUGUAAAUGAAGUCUGUGAGAUAACACAGCAGGCACCCAGGCCAACAGCCUCAGUUCAAGUGCAGUCCGGCCCCUCCCUCACCAGGUGGGUUCUCAGUGCCAGCUUCCCCAACCCCCUGCUAUCUCCUCCUCACAUCCCUUCUUCUCUCUCUUCCCCCCAACAGCUGCCAGUCUGCUAUCUGCAGGGCACUGGCACGGGAGGCUGAGCAUGCACAUCCCACAGCAUUUGGGUAGGACACGACUGCAGCCAUGCCUGCCCUAGAGGUUGAUGACAUCGUGGUGCCUUCAAGGGGGGAAACUGGCAGGGCAAGCCUUUCCCCUAUGCUAGAGCCUCUGACAUGGAGGUUGCAAGAUGUGGGGGUACCUGUCCACCAUGGAUUGGGGUGAAGGGCCUGUGGGAAAGGAGGAUGCCUGGCUUCCCUUCUCCGGGUCCUCUUGCCUCAGUGUAGGGGACCUGGCAGCAGAUGGGCACUGGUGGGCCACACUGCAGGGGAAGGCUCCUGGGUGCCUUGAGGGCCUCCGUGCUCCUCUCCAGUAGCUCCAUGCCCAAGGUAGCAUAGCAUUAAAUAGCAAAUACACAGCACAAGAGGGGCCACAGAAGUGGGGUGGGGCUUUAUGUUUGGGUACCUCUCUCCUGCCUGUGGAACAAAAGGCUUGUGUUUGCAAUGUGCCCUGGGCUGUCACAUUAGGUAGCUGUCCUGACUCAGGACUUCUGUUGCUCUGGCCACCAGCCCCCAGCACUCAGCACCGCUGGACAACACCGGUGUAUUCACGUUCAGUCUAGUGCGUUCCCGGCCCUGUGCUGGGCCUCUUUUCCCUGUUUUCUUGUUUGCAGCCUUGUCGUAACUGAGUGAGGUGUGCACUAUUAUUAGACUCAUUUUACAGGUGAGGAAAGACAGCUGCCCAUAGGCUGAGUUAACUUGUCCACGUCCUCCACCAGGGAAGCAAGAGAGCCAAGCUCCCCACCCAGGUGGCCUGGUGCUCCUGUCCUGGCCCGACAUGCGGGCAGUCGGGCCGUCGGGAAAGGAAAGCGCAGUGUAGAGGAGCUGCUUCUCACCGCCUCUCCUCCCCUCCCCACCUUCCCCGGGAACUCAUGCCCCUCCCCUGCACUCCUGCUCCUUGCCGGCUCGCCCUGGGCCGCUCCGAAGGGAGGAGACCACGUGACCCAGGUCACCGGUAACCAGGCAACCGUUCCAAGACACUGCUUUUCAUCCACUCUGGCUUCUACCUUAUUCAAUAUCUGCCAGGCGGGCAAGGCUCCUGGGAGCAUCCCUGAAGCCAUUUCUCUGGGCCAGGAGCCAGCUGUUCCCAAAAUGGCCACGAUGCCUCAGGAGGGAGGUUGACACCCUGUGCUCUCAGAAGCAGCUCAGAGCUCAGAGGCAGACCUCUACUCAUGCAAUUCUGCCUUCUGUGCAUGCAAUGGAUUGCUGCCAUCUCCAAUCAGCCACAAUGGGAGGCCACCUGCUAGACAUGGAAGAGCCACCGGAUGGAAGAAGCCUGGGUCUCUGAAAUACUGCUUGGAGUAGACUACUCUGCCUGCAAACUAGGAGCACUGAUUUUGGACUUUUUGGGAGGGACUUCUAUGCCCUCUGCAGUUUGCCUCUUCCUCUGCUAUUUUUUCAUGUAUGUGUAUGUUUUUUGCCUGUAUUUGCAAUGCCAGCCAUCAUUUGCCAUGUCUUCUAGCGGCAACCUGCAUUUAGCCCAGAUCUGCUGUGAUUAUUCCUUUUCACAAACCACAAUGACUCUGGAAAACCUGGCUGUAAACACCAGCACUGCCACCAGCUAAGGAUCUGUGAUCAGGAGUGCCAUCUCACGGUAACAGGAAUAUGAAGUCUGAGGUUUCUGCUCUGACAAGAGGAAAUGUCUAACAGCAGAAGACAAAAGUGAAACCGGGCUGAUGCGAAUCACUGGGAAACUGGCUUUGGCACCUCCAGAGAAUGAACUGUUUCAUAGCCUAGCUGACCAUCCAUGAAAAUGGCUGCCUGGAGAGGCAGUGAUCAGCCCAUCCCUGCAGGGUGAAGAUAAGCUUGUGCAGGCCACUGGCUAACACAGUUCAUCCCAUGCCUCCUACAUACCAAGCACUGUGCCAGGCACUUUUCACGUCUGGCAUCCUCAGAAUCCUCCAAAAGGAGAGGUUCGUGGAGGAUAAUGCUGUCAGGCUUGGAAGCAGCAGUAGAGAUCACGUUGCCCAGCUCUUGGCAUCAUUGGUUCCCAAAGCUCUGAAUCCCCUGGAGAGCUUUUGUAAAAGGUCGGAUUCAGACAAUCCGGUGGAGCACUCUGAAAUUUAGAGGAAGUGGUCAAAUAGAAUUUUCUGGAAUUAUGGAAAUCUUCUAUUCUGUGCAUCUAGUAUAGUAGAAUCUAGUCACAUGUGGCUUUUGAGAACUGGAAAUAUGGCUAAUGCAACAGAGAAAGUGAAUUUUUACUUUUGAUUCAUUUAAAUAUAAAUGGUCACAUAUGACAUCACUGCCAUAUUGGACAUUGCAGUUCUGGAAGAUGGCAGAUGCAGCCCUCAGAAGAAUUAUCAGCCUGAAUGUCUGGGCGGAGCAGAGCACUACCUUCCCACUCACUCUUCCCCUCCUCUCGCCCCCUCCCCUGCCUCACUUGCAUCAGAUUAUGAUGUGAGCAAAAGCAGGAAACAGCUCUUUUGAUAGGCCUGUGAGACUUGCUGUUCGUUGGAGUAGCUAGGCUGCUCUGACUCAUACAGACCCAAAUCCUGGCAACCACUUUUAUGAAGAAAUGACAAUUCAGUCUACUACUUGUCCAUUUUACAUGCCCAAGGAAUGUGAGGGGCCUCUGCUUGGAUCUAGUUUUCAACCUAGUCUAUGGCAUUGAUUAUCCUUUUAAAAGACAAAAGAGGUGACUUCACGGGCACUUAACAUCUUGGCCAUACUGACCCCAGUUGCACGCUACGUAGGAAGUUUUAGUCCAUUUAAACUGAAGUUCCAAUUUUUUUUUUAACAACUAUUUAAAAAUUGUACAUGUCCCAUACAUGACAGAGAAAGGGUUGUCUGGUUGGAUGAUUUUUGGCUUGCAAAAAGAGAACACAAAAGAAAAGCAUACGUUUUAAUACUCAAGAGACCAAAUUUUCUGCUGAAGAGGAAAUGAACUACAUAUCCAGAAGGGUCCUACCAAGAGGCCAAACAGACUGUGUUCUCUUGGGGGAGUUCUCAGUGGUGAUGAGAACACCACUUUUUUUUUUUUUUUAGUCAUUUUCAAGGUGAGAUAUUGACUUGCUGCUGGAGCAGGACAACUGGUCUCUCUUUCAUUGCUAGCAGCAGAGUAAGGGUCUUGCAAGUUUCAGGCAGCAGCAGAGAAAGGGUCUUGCAAGUUUCAGUCCAAAGCAAGAAGAGCUAGGAUUGCACCAGCUGUCUCACCUACUCUGUGCUCACCUGUUUCUGGAUGAAGCACGGUGACAUCUGUUUUAUUGUAAAGAGAACCAACUUUGGAAUCAAAUGGAACCUGUAUUAAAAUCCUGAAUCCGUCACUAGCUUGGACAAGUCA